UGUGGCCUUAUGCAGCAGAGCUCUACAGCGUAGUUUCUUCUAUGCCUUGGGAAGAAUGUUCCAUUAUGGCGUCAUGGUUACCACGGCAUCUCUCAGCAAACAUUUGGACUUAGGAGAAACAGGAUGAAAUGCGUGUUAUUACCUGGGCUUGACGAGGUUAUUCUGGAAGAUGCCUUCUGGGUGUGGCUAAGAAGACUCCCCCUUUGGGAGACGGCUGCCUCCUGCUCAGCUCCUGCCCUCACGUACACAAGUUGCCUGACAGAGGUUAACAACCAAAGCCACGAAGGAAAUGGAAAGCAAACCUAACCACGAUCUGCUGGGGCUAUGGUCCAAACUACAGCCAGACUCCGACCUAGACACACCUCUGGACUGGCCGUCAUCUAGUCCUCAUUGUUCCCAGAGGAGGCUUUAAGAGUUCCCUUAAGUGAGAAGCACAUGGCACCAGGCCACCAGCUGGUGCUUCACAAAGGACAAAAACGGCCACCAGGUCUGGUGUUGUCCCUGUCCAUCCCCCUCCGUCCCCCCUGCCCCAUCCAUCCCAGCCCCACAAGGAUCCCUUUGCAAAUUAAACUGAUGGCUUUGUGGUUAAGUUUUUCACAUUAAAGUUAGCAGGGCUGAAAA